GAUGAACGCUGGCGGCGUGCCUAAUACAUGCAAGUCGAGCGAACACACGAGGAGCUUGCUCCUCUGACGUCAGCGGCGGAAGGGUGAGUACCAUGUGGAUAACCUACCUCUGAGACAGGGAUGCAAACGCGAAACAGUGGCUACUAACGGAUAAUAUCUUGCACCGCAUGGUUCCAUAGUGAAAGUCGGUUUUUCUGUGACUUAUAGAUUGAUCCGCGGCCCAUUAGCUAGUGGGUAAAGUAACGGCUUACCAAGGCAACGAUGCGUAGCCGACCUGAGAGGGUGAUCCGCCAGACUGUAACGGAGACACGGACCAGACUCCUGCGGGAGGCAGCAGGAGGGAAUCUUCCGCGAUGGGCGAAAGCCUGACGGAGCAACGCCGCGUGAGUCAUGAAGGUCUUCGGAUCCUAAAGCGCUGUUAUUAGGGAAGAACAAAUGUGUAAUUAACGAUGCACGUCUUGACGGUACCUAAUCAGAAAGCCACGGCUAACUACGUG
rnacentral:rRNA from 1 species